rnacentral:tRNA from 1 species
UUUUUUGUUUUUUUUUCUGUGUUGGUGUUGUGUACUCAGGUGAAUAAUAUGUUUGCGAUGUUACUCUGAGUGCAUGUCCACACCGGGCGAGCUUGAAAAAUAUGCCCGGCCACGGUGGGAUUCGAACCUACGACCUUUGGAACACUAGCCCAAUGCUCUUCCAACUGAGCUACGCGGUCAGGACGGUUCGAGUAAGUGAUAUUUCGGAACAGUAUCUAGUUCC